ACAGGUGGCGGGUAAUACCUUCACGAUGGCUCCAUUCCCCAAAUUAGUGGUUUUACUUUGUCUGCUUGCGUUGGCCAAAAUGUCUGUUUAACGAACGCUCUGCUCAACCUUAGAGUCACCCCCAUGAUCCCCUUCUUCCUUCCACUGGAGAAGCUCUGAAGGGACAGCUGGGAUACCACCGCGAGAACAAGAACAUACCACCACUCAGUUUCCAGAAAUUGCUUUCCAUCUUUGUUGUACUUCCUGCUCCUGAGUCCGUCUUCCCCUCACAAUGGCUUUGUAUUGCUGAAGGAAGCGGAAGUACAGAGACAGACCAGAAGGAAAUUGUGUGUGUUCUGCUCUCUCCUGCAGGUAUGGUUUUCCCUUUUGUUCAUUUUCGCUGUUUCUGUUAAAAUUACUCGAGCUCAUGUAGUUAUUUAUUUUGUCCAAUAGGGGUCGCUGUUUUGUAUGUUACAUGGUUUGUAUGUUACAUGUCAUGGUUUUUGAUGAAUAUUGUUAUCAUUUAGAUUUAAUGUGGUCCUGGCUUCCCCUGACAAUGGCUUUGUAUUGCUGAAGGAAGCGGAAGUACAGAGACAGACCAGAAGGAAAUUGUGUGUGUUCUGCUCUCUCCUGCAGAAUAAAUAAGAAUUGGGAAAAUACA